GAACGCUGGCGGUAUGCCUUAUACAUGCAAGUCGUACGAGAGUUUUUAACUCAAGUGGCGGACGGGUGCGUAACGCGUAGGAAUCUACCUUAUAGUGGGGGACAACUCGAGGAAACUCGAGCUAAUACCGCAUAAGCCUUACGAGGGAAAGCAAGGGAUCUUCGGACCUUGUGCUAUUAGAUGAGCCUGCGUCGGAUUAGCUUGUUGGUAGGGUAAUGGCCUACCAAGGCAACGAUCCGUAGCUGGUCUGAGAGGAUGACC
rnacentral:rRNA from 1 species